rnacentral:rRNA from 1 species
GGAUUAGCGGCGGACGGGUGAGUAACACGUGAGUAACCUGCCUUAGACAUUGGGAUAGCCUCGGGAAACCGGGAUUAAUACCGAAUAACAUCACAUAGACACAUGUCAUUGUGAUCAAAACUCCGGUGGUCUAAGAUGGACUCGCGUCCCAUUAGCUAGUUGGUAAGGUAACGGCCUACCAAGGCGACGAUGGGUAGCCGGCCUGAGAGGGUGAACGGCCACAUUGGAACUGAGAAACGGUCCAAACUCC